ACAUGUAUUGAAUAAAAAAAGAGAAAGUAAUACAAACCAGUGUUUACUUAAACAAUAGCCACUGACAGCAAGAGACACACAGAUGGAAACCCAGUUGCUUGUAUCUCAGUGGGAGCUUUCAUUUGAGGACCUUGAUGGGGAUGUGAUUGGACUGGAACACUCUAAUUUACAUCAUGGAGAAUCUAUCCUGAUGCCUUUUUCCUGAUGCUGCUGUGCCAAACUAGGUCUCCUGUGAGAAACUGGUCACAUGCAGGGAGAAGAAAGGAAAGACUUUAGUCUGAAUAAGAGGAAAAAGCAGAGUUUCAAGUACUGCAAAUACAGGCUAUCUUGCUGUAUAUUGUCUGCUAUUUUAUGGACACAAGUAAUGGCAGAACCUUUUUUUUUCUUUUUCUUUUUAUUUUUAGAAGAACAGUAAAGAGGACAGCAGAGGAGCUAUAGGGCAUAUUUGAUGUGUGGUGCAUAUUGCCCUAUAGGUUAAGGAAGGAACAGAAUUGCAUAAUGUCCUGCCUGGAAAUGGCCCAAAAUGUACUUUUUUAGUGUCACUUCAUUUACAAUGAUAGAAUGAAAGACUGGAGAGAAGUUGUCCAUUAUAAUGAAUGCAGAGCUCAUUCUUUCAUCCAGGGAAUCUUAGUGUCAGCAAAAUGUAUGGAGAGAUUCCUGACAGAAAAAGCCCUAGAUGUAAUGGAAAAUGCCAGCGAAGAGUUCUAUGAGAAAUCCUGAAUCCUCUUCUGCAUCACAUCACAGCUUUUGCACAAGGGCUGCAAAAGACAUCUGCUGACUGAAGCCAUCAGUCUGGUGGGCUGAAACACUUUUGGUUGCAAAGAAGAGAUUAAACUUGGACUCCAUUAAGUGACUGUAGUUGGAAGGCCUGAGUUAUUCCUUUAUAUGGAGCUACUGCACACUGGAAUCAGCUGCUGUCAGCAAAAACAGCCUAUCUGAAAACCUACAAAGCUCCACAAGCCUUAACAGCUUAACAGACCACUACAGAACAGAGGUGUGAAGUUUACUGAAGUCCAAUUGAUUAAAGUCACAUGCCAGUCUUAGCUGGAAAGCAAAGAAAAGAGAUUCAAACAAUUUCAGAGGAUGUAACUAAACCACAUGUGGUUUACCAUUGAUCUUUACCAUAAAUCAGAAGAAUGAUGAAAACUGUGGAA